CAAAUAAAAUUCAAAACCCUAAGUCCCCAAAUUUUCGCCACUUCUCUUCUUAAAUCCCCAAUUCACCAAAAUUUCGAUCAUGUCGCCGGAAAAACACAAUCCCGGUGGAUCGUUACUCAUCCGGAGCAGCUUUCAACAGUCAAUUUCGACGUCCGGUAAAUCUGAUUCCUGCACAAUCUCAUCAUCACCGUCACACGCGGUUCCAUCCCUUACUCUCGGUCUAAACCACCAGCAACGACGACACACCGACGACGUACUCACUGGAGCACCAGAGCUCCGUCUGCUGGAAUAUCCACCGAUUCAAUCGUCUCCGCAUAACCGUCAGAACCAGCGCUUGUGGAGGAAUUAGGGCAAAAUGUCGAUGAAAUCGUCUUGAUAGCUGACGAGGGUGUGGAAAUUGAUCUAGAAAGACCUUCGAAGAGAGAAGCAAUGCACAAUUUAGUGAAAGAAGCCACAGGGAUUGAUGCCUGGUCGAAUAUAUGCUGUUGACACACAAAAGGAUCCACGGGCCCCCACCUUCCAUAAGGUGGUUGAGCCCGCUGACAUCAUAAGCAAAACAGGGCUCGCAAAUCCCCACACCACUCAUUGUCUUGCUUCUGGUGACAUAAUGGUCUCCUGCCUUGGAAACAAAGAUGGAAAAGCGGAAGGAAAUGGCUUCCUACUUCUUGAUUCAGAUUUCAAUGUGAAAGGAAGGUGGGAGAAACCUGGGCAUAGUCCAUUGUUUGGAUAUGAUUAUUGGUACCAACCUUGACAUAAAACCAUGAAUAGUAACUACAUCAUGGGGAGGUCCAGCUGCGUUUACACGGGAUUCAACCUUCAACAUGUUUCAGACGGUUUAGAUGGUUGUUAUUUGCAUGUGUACAACUGGCCCAAGGGCGAACUGAAACAAACAAUUGAUUUAGGCCCUAACGGGCUUCUGCGGCUUCUGCCAUUAGAGUCUUAAAGCUUCUGUUAGUGGCUUCAAGUCUUCAAUGUAGCUGUUUUGAAGUUCAGUUUAUCUUCGCGCAUUUUGGAUUUCAGUAUGUUCAGGAACGAAAGAAAACAAAAAAAAUGGCACAUCCGGACGUGUUUUUGACAUGUUUGCGCAGACAGUCCCUUUGUUCUGAUUACAUCAAGAUGUCUGUACUUGAUGAGGCUGAUAAAAUGCUUUCAAUGGGGUUCAAGGAUCAGAUCUAUGAUAUCUUCCGGUUGUUGCCAUCGAUGGUUCUUGUUGGCGUGUUCUCCGCAACUAACCGGUUAGGAUUUUUGUGAAGCGUGAUGAACUCACUUUGGAAUGUAUAUUUGAAUGUGGAGAAAGAAGACUGGAAGCUUGAAACACUCUGUAACCUUUACGAGACGUUGGCAAUCACAAGUUGUUUAAAAACACUAGAACUUGCGUUAUGUAUUAUUUCGGUGAAUUUAAAUAGGUUUUUUAAUCUUUUCUAUAUAUUUUUUGGUGAUUUUUCAUGCAAUUUUACAAUUUUAUAUAGAAAAUUAAAUAUUCCAGUUUUUUUCC